rnacentral:tRNA from 1 species
AAAGGGAGGCCUAAUUCAGGUAAAAGACGAAAAAAAAGUAGUCGCUACCAAGAAUCAAUCCCAAAAGGUCGGAGCGAGGCGAAAUUGGCUUUCAAACUAGGUUCUGGGUUCAAACAAGACCUGAAUCAGGAACAAGGGCUAUUAGCUCAGGUGGUUAGAGCGCACCCCUGAUAAGGGUGAGGUCCCUGGUUCGAGUCCAGGAUGGCCCACCUGCACAGGUGGCAAAAACAAGAGAAGCGAGGAAUCAGCACCUUAUCUUACUGACAUAGUAAGAGAGAAUGCUGGCUCUGAGUAAAGAGUCCAGAGGAACCUUGAAAACUGCAUAGAGCUAGGUGAAAAAGCCAAAAAAGAAGACCGCAAG